rnacentral:rRNA from 1 species
UACGAAGGGGGCUAGCGUUGCUCGGAAUCACUGGGCGUAAAGCGCACGUAGGCGGAUUGCUAAGUCAGGGGUGAAAUCCUGGAGCUCAACUCCAGAACUGCCCUUGAUACUGGCGGUCUCGAGUCCGGGAGAGGUAAGUGGAACUGCGAGUGUAGAGGUGAAAUUCGUAGAUAUUCGCAAGAACACCAGUGACGAAGGCGGCUCACUGGCCCGGUACUGACGCUGAGGUGCGAAAGCGUGGGGAGCAAACAGG